CAUAAAAAGGAGCUGAAGUGGCAACAAAAAGCCAAAACCUUCUUUGCCACUUCUUGCAGGAUGUAAAGUUUUCUGACUCGUGCAUUCCAAGUAUAAUCUGAAACCAGGAAGACAAAAAAAG